rnacentral:rRNA from 1 species
UAGGGAAUCUUCCACAAUGGACGCAAGUCUGAUGGAGCAACGCCGCGUGAGUGAAGAAGGUUUUCGGACCGUAAAGCUCUGUUGUUGGUGAAGAAGGAUAGAGGUAGUAACUGGCCUUUAUUUGACGGUAAUCAACCAGAAAGUCACGGCUAACUACGUGCCAGCAGCCGCGGUAAUCGUAGGUGGCAAGCGUUGUCCGGAUUUAUUGGGCGUAAAGCGAGCGCAGGCGGAAGAAUAAGUCUGAUGUGAAAGCCCUCGGCUUAACCGAGGAAUUGCAUCGGAAACUGUUUUCUUGAGUGCAGAAGAGGAGAGUAGAACUCCAUGUGUAGCGGUGGAAUGCGUAGAUAUAUGGAAGAAUACCAGUGGCGAAGGCGGCUCUCUGGUCUGCAACUGACGCUGAGGCUCGAAAGCAUGGGUAGCGAACAGGAUUAGAUACC